rnacentral:rRNA from 1 species
UACGUAGGAUGCAAGCGUUGUCCGGAUUUACUGGGCGUAAAGAGCGCGCAGGCGGUCGAUCAAGUCGAGUGUGAAAGCCCCCGGCUCAACUGGGGAGGGUCAUUCGAUACUGAUCGACUCGAAGGCAGGAGAGGGUAGUGGAAUUCCAGGUGUAGCGGUGAAAUGCGUAGAUAUCUGGAGGAAUACCGGUGGCGAAGGCGGCAUCCUGGACCGGCAUUGACGCUGAGGAGCGAAAGCCAGGGGAGCAAAGCGGG